CGAUAACGGCGUCGAGCGGCGGACGGGUGAGUAAUGCCUAGGAAAUUGCCCUGAUGUGGGGGAUAACCAUUGGAAACGAUGGCUAAUACCGCAUAAUGCCUACGGGCCAAAGAGGGGGACCUUCGGGCCUCUCGCGUCAGGAUAUGCCUAGGUGGGAUUAGCUAGUUGGUGAGGUAAUGGCUCACCAAGGCGACGAUCCCUAGCUGGUCUGAGAGGAUGAUCAGCCACACUGGAACUGAGACACGGUCCAGACUCCUACGGGAGGCAGCAGUGGGGAAUAUUGCACAAUGGGCGCAAGCCUGAUGCAGCCAUGCCGCGUGUGUGAAGAAGGCCUUCGGGUUGUAAAGCACUUUCAGUCGUGAGGAAGGUGGUGUAGUUAAUAGCUGCAUUAUUUGACGUUAGCGACAGAAGAAGCACCGGCUAACUCCGUGCCAGCAGCCGCGGUAAUACGGAGGGUGCGAGCGUUAAUCGGAAUUACUGGGCGUAAAGCGCAUGCAGGUGGUUUGUUAAGUCAGAUGUGAAAGCCCGGGGCUCAACCUCGGAAUAGCAUUUGAAACUGGCAGACUAGAGUACUGUAGAGGGGGGUAGAAUUUCAGGUGUAGCGGUGAAAUGCGUAGAGAUCUGAAGGAAUACCGGUGGCGAAGGCGGCCCCCUGGACAGAUACUGACACUCAGAUGCGAAAGCGUGGGGAGCAAACAGGAUUAGAUACCCUGGUAGUCCACGCCGUAAACGAUGUCUACUUGGAGGUUGUGGCCUUGAGCCGUGGCUUUCGGAGCUAACGCGUUAAGUAGACCGCCUGGGGAGUACGGUCGCAAGAUUAAAACUCAAAUG
rnacentral:rRNA from 1 species